CCGUCCUCAAGCGAACUCGCAAGCGAUUUUAGGUUUUAGUGAAUGAGGCAGCAUAGAUGGUAGGAGCUCUAAUUGGAGAAUGUGAUCCUCAAUCAAAACAACCCAGUUUAAUGGAAUAAAUUAUAACGGGGUAAAACAGAUGCGCUGGCUUAUCGAAACAUCAGACGUAAAAAGCCACAGUUGCUUGGUAAGAUCGACAAAACAUAGCGCACGGCUUUGCUGACGUUCAAGAAAAAACGCUUAAAAUACAAGCAUAAAAUAACGUCUUAAAAAAGAGUCUCUCGAGGGUGGAAUUCAAGCGGUACCUAACGAUACCAAAGUGUGGAUAUUCAAGGGCAAGUGUUGAUUUAGAGGGGUUGUUAUAAUGAUUAAAAAUAACCUGUUCUGUUGAUCCUUUUCUGUUCCAUUCCUUAAGGUAAAGGAAAUGUGUUGACACAAGCGGAUGUGGAUUUUCAGCGGUCAUGGUUUGGUGCGAAGAUGUCUAGGUGGGAAUGCUCUCAAACCUUUCGGUUACCGUGCCCACAGGGAAGCGACAAAAACAAAGAUAACCUUUCGAGACAUGUCAUUUUUCAAGGGAGUGUUCACAGCCAAGGCGCUGUAGACAAUGUGACCAUUUUUAUCGAGGGGGAAGCAAUAUAAAAACAUAUCCUGAGAAGAUCCCUACUGCGAUAUUAUCAAGAGAGCCCCCGAUUGCCAAAGGACAUGUCUAAUGUCGAAGGAUUAUUGAUUACCGUAAGUGUUCCGGAAGACGAUUGUCGGUUGAUUGCGUAUGCCCGAGCGAUUCCGAAGAAGCGCCGAAAGCUUAGAACCAAUGGACGCGAGCAAAUGCCAUAAAACCGGCAAAGGGUGUCUUAAAGUGGUAUUAGAAUAGAAUUAAACAAAUGAUCAAUAACAAUAACACUUGUAAGGUUGUUAUCAUGAAAAACAAUCUGAUUAAGCAUUAUAUGACACACUAAAAAAAAUAAUAUUUUUCUGCUAUCUGAUCUUCCAAAUGUUCUUAGAAUAUUAUUAAACUUUGGCGAAAUC